GCCGUUUCAUACUGUGCUCCUCUGAGCUGUCUGUGCCUCUCUCUGUUUGUAUUCGCUGGGAGUCAGCAUGCACCUGUGUUUCAGUGGUCUCUCUCAUUCCAACUGGUUGUUUAUGAAUGCUGUCAUGUUAGCAGCUCGUGCAGCAAUCAGCAGGAGAGAAGCAGAACUGGACCUGGUAGACUCAAAAUAACAAAAACUCAGAGCAAAGGAAUUGUGUUUGGAGAGUUUCUGCCUCCAUUUUGAGACAAAAGAAAUCUGAGGAACAAACUUGCCUAGCUGGAAUGAAGGACUGACAACAAGCAGACCUUUGUGGAAAGGGGUGGCUGUAUGAAGCUCUGUAAUGGAUGGAAAGCAGCAACCAUGUUCCCACCGGUUUCUUGAUUUAUGCUGAAGCAUUGGCCUACGCUAACCCUCAAGCCUGACUCCAUUUGAUUCCAGAGGAUGUCUGACCAUGAGAUCCAGCAUGUACCCCACUGAGUCCUGAGAUGCCCUCUGAUCGCUGGAUGAGAGGCUGGACUCGUGCUUGAAUCCAGCUCAGGCUGUUGCAGUCUCUGUUGCUCCAGCGGCAGAAGCAGGUGUGUCUACCUCCUGUGCCACCCUCUCUGCCCCCUCCUUCCUGUUCCCUUAUCACUGCAGUACGGCAGCUCUGUCUGGGAGGCAGCCAUUCCAUUGUUCUCGCGCCCCCCCUCACCUAUCAAUGCUCGUGUGGGUGCUGGCGCCGCUCUGCCCGACCCAACCCCUGGAAAGGACUGGCUCCAAAUUACUGUGAUACUUGGCACCUAGGUGCCCUGAGCGGGUUACGCUUAUGGCUUUCUGACUCGUCUCUCCCUGGACAGAGCUCACUACACUCUCUGCUGCAGACCGCCGCCAUCUUGUUACUGCUUGUGCUGCCGGUCUGCCUGCCUCUGCUGCACUCAAACCAAAUCAUCUUAACACAGCCUCAAGUGUUUGCCAGCAUCUCUCCCCUGCUUCUCUCGGAUCUUGCCUUAGCAUAGCUUUAUCGCAACACUUCCCCGCAGCCAGCGCAUGGACACAUAUUAUCGCUGCACAGAGGCAGACACACCUGGAACUUUGAGCAGUGCAUUAUACCUGAAUGGAUGUCAUAGAGGUUGCAAACACUGUGAUCAAGAUCUCAUGGCAAAUUUAUCCAUAUUUGUACCAAUAGGAUGCAGACUGUGUGGUCUCAACCAGAUUAGGAAAACCAAGACGAAAACCUCAAUGCUAUUGUCACCAAAAUAACUCAUCUUAACUAUAAUAAUUGACCAAGUUAUUUCAUACUAUGCCAUACAAUACCAUACCAUACAAUACAAUUAAAAGAAGCAAACUCUUUGUCAUUUUACUGAUUUACAAAUUCUGUUAUGAAAACGUGGCUUCUUCUUUUGGAUAUGAUAUAUUUUGCUUUUCAAUGGUGAAUAUGAACCACAGUCUGUCCUUGAUCCUGCAGGCGUUUAUGUAUAGACAAGAUGAGUGCAUAUAUUUGCUAUCUUCGUGUGUGUGUGUAUGAUAUGUGUUGUAGACACAGAGAGAGAGAGAGGGAGAGAGGGAGAGAGAGAGAGAGAGAGAGAGAGGGUGGGAGAGAGAAAUUGAGCAGUGGUAAGAAAGUCCUCCUAAUUCUGUUUGGCAGGAACUGUGCCGUUUGACCAUAUGUCCUCAGAGCAGACUUCAAACAUCAUGAAAUGACUGCUUCACACUCACUCACACUAUUUUCACAGGACACGUACACAUUACUGUACACUGUAAUUUUUCUUCAUAGAUAAAGGUAUGAGUGAAGUACUUUUGCAGUGAGAGUGAAAGCAAAGGCUAAGAAUUCAGAAAGCAUAUUUCAACUUAUGGAAAUCUUACUGCUGUAUUGAACUGUGCUUUGGUGAAAAGCAAAUGGAUGUGUGUAGGUGGAGGCCAAAGAUAUAUAGCUGUAAAUUCAGAAGGUCUUCCAUUCUCUCAGACACUCUGCCAGGAAGAAACUAUUCUAAUUAAAUGAUAAAGAACGUGAAGAAACAAAGUGUCCCUCGAGAACAUAUCCUUAUAUCUGAGGUUGCCAGUUUUAUUUUUUUUACUUGUGUCUGUGGACGUAUGUACACCGUACCUUUGCUGUGAUACUGCAUAUGCAAGGUCAAUGGCUGCCUUGCUUCAGGGUUAAAUGUUGUCAGCUUUUAUCUGAUGUUCCCCUUUUUCAGGUCAGUGGAGAUGGCCCUCUGUCGCACCAGCUGUUAGUCAGUCACAGAGCUAUCCAAUCACAGCUACUAGAAUUAUGCUAAUCACAAGCAUAUUUAGUCUGAAUGUGAUGUGGGUCAAGAGGAAGCAAAGAAAAAUGGACAGAAUUUAACCCAUUCUAGCCAGUUUUGUAAAAGCAAUCAAUCCUUCAUUUACUUAAAAUGCACAAGCUAAAAACAUAAAAUGUUGACUAAUCAUUUAUACGCUUCCUAUGAAAAAUUUUCUUUGAUUAAACCCUUAUUCUGUACUGCUAUUAACAAGUACUUGUGAUUAUUAACAGAUGAUAUACAGUUAUAUUUUACCGACAGCUGAAAUAAUGUUGGGCAUUUUUCUUUAGAGGGCAAAUUAUUGAGGCAGUACACACAACAAUAAAACAAAUAAUGGUAAGACAGAUACAAAAUAAUAUGAGGUACUUAUGAUAUAAAGCCAGCAAAACAACAAAUGCUGCAUUUAAAAGCCUCAUAAAUUAAUUGACAGUACAGUCAAUAAAAAGCAAGCACAAGCUUUAGAAAUGUAUUUUGAUUGUAUUAUAUUGUACUAUAAAGUAUCCCUGUUUUGUCCGCUCCAUGAUGUACAGGAACUUACCUAAUGGGGAUUGAAAUGUCAGUCUAUUGGUCGGUUCGUCAGUUUACCACUUUGCUCCAGACUUAAAUAUCUCAACAAUUAUUGGACUGAUUGCCAUGAACUUUUGUGGAGACAUUCAUGGUCCCCAGACGAUGAAUCAUAAUGACAAAUGACCCCCACACUAAUUUUAAACCUAUCCGGUGAAAUAUCAAAUGUGUCAGACAAACUGGCACAAAACUUACUACAGAUGUUCAUGGUACCUAGACGAUAUAUCCUUAUGACUUUUCAUCUAAUCUUUCCUCUAGUGCCACCAUGAGAUUGAUAUUUGUGGUUUUCAUGUAAAUUUCUCAAGAACUACUGAAUGGAUGCCCUGAAAUUUGGUGCAAACAUUCAUAUCCUUUAGCGAUUCACUAACAUCAGAGUCAAAUUUUUAAUUGUUCAGUACUUGGUUUGUAGUUAAUCAUCUAUAAAACUAAUGACAUUUCCAUCACUUUGUGAUAUGUGCUUAUUAGCAAACGUUAGUAUGCUAAGACAGCAAACAUAUUUGCUAAACAUCAGCAUUUUAGCUAUGUCAGUGCGAGCCUGUUAGCAUGCUCAUGUUAGCAUUUAGCUCCUGCUGUGCCUACAUACAGCCUCACAGAGCUGCUAGCAUAACUAUAGAGUCUAGUUUCUGUAGUGGCUAGGAAACUGAACUGUUUCACUGCACAAACAUACUUCUGUUAACAGUUGAUUUCAUAUUGAGCUGACAGCACUUGUACAAAACACUGCAAGAAAAUAUUGUUUUUUUAAAUGUUGUAUUGUUUUUUCAUGUAUAUUGUCACAUUUAUCUGAAAAGUAGUGUAGUGCCUUUAUGUGAUAUUCCACUGAUACAGGUGACUAGAGAAUACAUCUCUGAUGUAACUGUGACUCUACUGGGAUUGUUUUUUUAUUUGUUUUCUAUUGUGUAUGUUUCUUUUUAUGCUCAUACUGCAUAUUAGUUUGCCCAUGGUGAUAAUAAAUUUAUUCAAUCAAAAGAGAAAUUUUGUUAUAAAUGUGGAAAACAUGCAGGAAUGAACUAUAAUAACACUGCACAGCUAUUUGACUGGUCACUGACAUGUUCAAAGUACAACAAGCUAUCCAUUAUCAAACGAUUAAUAGUUGCUACCUGUACUUUUACUGUAACUGUUAUUGAGCUGCAUUACUGUGAUACUGUAGUCAGGAAUAAGAGUGUAGUGAAUUAUUUUCACAGCAGCAGCAGAGUGGACAUAGAUUGCAUGACAUGGUGCAGUUUGCACAUGGAAUGUAGAAAGAUUUCGGGCACUCUGUGAUGAAGGCCAGAUGUUUGAGUUAUGCAUAGGAAGUCAAUUGUCUACAGUUGCUACUGGGUAUGACAGUGAUGCAGCCAGCACUGGUAUCUGCUGCAUAAUCAAAUUUAAGAAGGCCCCCUCACAUAUUACAGCUUGUAUAUAACCAGCACAUGUGCUCAGUUUGAAAAACAGUCCUCAAAGAACAUCAUGUAUACAGAAGUGCAUAAAUAAAAAUAGAAACGGUAUAUGAGUGAGUAAGUAAGAGGAGUUGGUCAUGAAUUCCCUGGUUACAGUCUGCAUAGCAACUUAUCCUGUUGCUCAUACUGUAAAGCAAUACUUUCUAAACCUUAACAGAGUCAGAGAGUGGUCGACAAGGGUGUUGAUCACAGUGAUUGGUUAAAAACUGAAAGAAAAGGAAGCAUCAUAAUACUGCUGCCAGGCAAAAUAACAUCGCUCAGAUUCAGUUUUUUUUUAUAUUCAUGGAGUAUGUUUCUUCAUGGGGAAGGUUCCACAGUCGGUUGGCUCUUUAAAACUCUUUACACAAGCCGAGGAACAAAGAAAAGAAGGUUGAUUUGCAUGAAAAUGUUUUGGAUGGAUAAAGUUUUCACCACAAAACAGUGAUAGGAAAUCAAUCAACUGCUGAAUUCUUCAAAUGUUUUUGAAUUUUGGAGGACAUGGGGGUUACAAUUUGCUUGAAGAGAAAUGCAAAUCUGUACACAGCAGGCAACAGCCCAUUUAUACUGAAACUCAUCUCCUUCUACUGUAGCCCUUUUCCCUUGUUCCUUCUCCUUGCUUUUUUUCCUCCUCAUCUUACACACAGUUACACACACACACACACUCCCAGCCUGUCUCUGUGUCUCACACAGGCACACACAUACACACACCAUCUUUUGUUUGGAGUCAGACGGCAUUGAAGGCAGAUCCUGUGGCCCUUCUGAGGAGAAUGUUAAUAUGCCCGCUCUGGUCUCUCUGGGGACGCAGAGAAUGGACUCUGGCUGCUAAUGCACUGUCACACUAACCCUGCUCACUUUUCUCACACAGUUAGCAACAGCAGCUCUACUGCCAACACUGAAACACUAUAAUGUAUUUAACUAUACUCACAACUUAGUGGAUCAUUAAGAGUUACUCUAACUAAACUCUAACUACAGACAGCUGCUGGUGAGGAAGCAGUUCACCAUGCUUUCUACACCUGAUCUAAACACCAUGUUUAUGUUGGAUGUUUUUGUGGGCAUGUUACCAUACAAGACAGUUCCUCCACAAUUAAUUCAUGUAUAUUAUAAAAACAUUUUUACAAUUAUAAAAUAUUGAGUCACCAGAGUUGAAGUUGGCAAAUGAAUUUACCAAACCAAACUGGUCUGUGUAUCAUCUGUUCUCUUCAUUCUUUCAUUCAGGCUGGAAAAUGGUUAAAAAAAACAACAAAAAAAACAAAAACAAAAACAGAUCAAUUUCCUCUUUCUGCUUUUUGUGUGUAUCCAAAAAUGGAAAAUGCAUCUUAAAGUGGGUUUCAUAGUGAAGAAGAAAACUCUUAUUUUCUAGCUCCUCAUGAACAGAUCCACUAAUGGUUGAAGGUGAGGUUUUGUUUUGGAAAGCCCUUCAGAGUUGGUCAUUCAACUCUCUCACCCUGUGAUCAGUCAUACAAUAAGAUCCAAAUUAUCUUAAAGGUGUUAAACAGAAGUACUUUGAUGGUUUGUGGAUACUGAAUGUUUUUCAUUAAUAUUUCAAUUUUUUAGACAUUGCAGUAAUUCAACAAAAUGGAAAAAACUCUUAACUCUAUGAACUGUAAAACAAUGAGUUCAAGCUUUGUAAUAUUGUUUCACAAACUGAAUGUCUCUGUGUCUGCUUUCUGAAUUAGCUACACGCAUUUACUGUAUUGUACUGUACAUCUGUAGCUAUAGGGCAAGUGAACACAGCUAUUUAUAUAAACAGACUUUAAUUCCCAGAUGAUCCUCCUGGGGUUGAGUACAAGAAAUUAAUGUGUACAAAAAUUUUACCAAACAAUCCCAAGUCAAGGUCCACUUACUUGCUUGUUCUGGAGCUUUGGACUGUAUCACACAGUUUUCAUCAGCAGUGGGUCAGGAUAUGCCAAUAUCCAGUGUCAACCAGCAUCAGUAUGCGCUCAACGCUUUACAAAAGCAGCAACAUUUGCUCCCAGAAUCUGUACACCUUGGUUCCAGGUUACUGAGGAUUUCUCCAUUUUGUCCGGUGUGUGUUUCACUUACUGUAAUACUGUACUGUUGUUUUUCUAAAACAAAUUAAUGUGAAAUAAAAAC